AUUGAACGCUGGCGGCAGGCCUAACACAUGCAAGUCGAGCGGAUGAAGGGAGCUUGCUCCUGGAUUCAGCGGCGGACGGGUGAGUAAUGCCUAGGAAUCUGCCUGGUAGUGGGGGAUAACGUCCGGAAACGGGCGCUAAUACCGCAUACGUCCUGAGGGAGAAAGUGGGGGAUCUUCGGACCUCACGCUAUCAGAUGGGCCUAGGUCGGAUUAGCUAGUUGGUGGGGUAAAGGCCUACCAAGGCGACGAUCCGUAACUGGUCUGAGAGGAUGAUCAGUCACACUGGAACUGAGACACGGUCCAGACUCCUACGGGAGGCAGCAGUGGGGAAUAUUGGACAAUGGGCGAAAGCCUGAUCCAGCCAUGCCGCGUGUGUGAAGAAGGUUUUCGGAUUGUAAAGCACUUUAAGUUGGGAGGAAGGGCAGUAAGUUAAUACCUUGCUGUUUUGACGUUACCAACAGAAUAAGCACCGGCUAACUUCGUG
rnacentral:rRNA from 1 species